rnacentral:rRNA from 1 species
UACGGGGGGGGCAAGCGUUGUUCGGAAUUACUGGGCGUAAAGGGCUCGUAGGCGGCCAACUAAGUCAGACGUGAAAUCCCCAGGCUCAACCUGGGAACUGCGUCUGAUACUGGAUGGCUUGAAUCCGGGAGAGGGAUGCAGAAUUCCGGGUGUAGCGGUGAAAUGCGCAGAUAUCAGGAGGAACACCGGUGGCGAAGGCGGUUCUCUGGGCAUGUCCUGACGCUGAGGAGCGAAAGUGUGGGGAGCGAACAGG